AUUGAACGCUGGCAGCAUGCUUUACACAUGCAAGUCGAACGGUAACAGGGAGCUUGCUCCGCUGACGAGUGGCGAACGGGUGAGUAAUGCGUCGGAACGUGCCGAGUAGUGGGGGAUAACGCAUCGAAAGGUGUGCUAAUACCGCAUACGAACUGAGGUUGAAAGUGGGGGACCUUCGGGCCUCACGCUAUUCGAGCGGCCGACGUCUGAUUAGCUAGUAGGUGAGGUAAAGGCUCACCUAGGCGACGAUCAGUAGCGGGUCUGAGAGGAUGAUCCGCCACACUGGGACUGAGACACGGCCCAGACUCCUACGGGAGGCAGCAGUGGGGAAUUUUGGACAAUGGGCGCAAGCCUGAUCCAGCCAUGCCGCGUGUCUGAAGAAGGCCUUCGGGUUGUAAAGGACUUUUGUCUGGGAGCAAAUACCCGGUGUUAAUAGCGCCGGGGGCUGAGAGUACCAGAAGAAUAAGCACCGGCUAACUACGUGCCAGCCGCCGCCGUAA
rnacentral:rRNA from 1 species